rnacentral:lncRNA from 1 species
AGUGCUUUCCUCACGAGUUUAAGUGACCUCUCUAGAACUGAAGUAGUAAAAUUGAAUCUCUGCAUAAAACACAAUGAUUUCAAUUAGUGUAUAUGAAAUCUAAACUAUAGAGAAAAUAAAAUUCAAACCAAAAUAUUACUGUUUCCCAUCCACUGGUAAUAUGUGCACGAAUAGUGGUCAUCAUCCAAUACAUGACGUAGUAACCACACUCAUAUGACCCGUUUUGUCUAUUACACUACAAUAUAUAAUCAUAAUUAUAGAAUGUUAAGUAACAUAAUUGGAAUGGUACAAAGUGUAACAAAGUAUGGACUAAAAUACCAAACCUUAAGGGUCAUCCAUGCAAGCUUUUUAGUUGUAGUAGUAGAUCUCCC